CCUACGGGGGGCAGCAGUGAGGAAUAUUGGUCAAUGGCCGAAAGGCUGAACCAGCCAAGUAGCGUGAGGGAUGACUGCCCUAUGGGUUGUAAACUUCUUUUAUGUGGGGAUAAAACGGUCCACGUGUGGUAUUUUGUAUGUACCGUAUGAAUAAGGAUCGGCUAACUCCGUGCCAGCAGCCGCGGUAAUACGGAGGAUCCGAGCGUUAUCCGGAUUUAUUGGGUUUAAAGGGAGCGUAGGUGGAUUGUUAAGUCAGUUGUGAAAGUUUGUGGCUCAACCGUAAGAGUGCAGUUGAAACUGGCAGUCGUGAGUACAGUAGAGGCGGGCGGAAUUCGUGGUGUAGCGGUGAAAUGCUUAGAUAUCACGAAGAACUCCGAUUGCGAAGGCAGUUCACUGGACUGCAACUGACGCUGAGGCUCGAAAGUGUGGGUAUCAAACAGGAUUAGAUACCCGGGUAGUC
rnacentral:rRNA from 1 species